GACAGAGGUGGCAAGCGUUGUUCGGAUUUACUGGGCGUAAAGAGUGCGUAGGUGGUGAGGUAAGACCUGUGGGAAAGACCUGGGCUUAACCCAGGAAGGUCGCCGGUGACUGCUUCGCUGGAGGACGGGAGAGGAGAGCGGAAUUCCCGGUGUAGCGGUGAAAUGCGUAGAGAUCGGGAAGAAGGCCGGUGGCGAAGGCGGCUCUCUGGAACGUUCCUGACACUGAGGCACGAAAGCCAGGGGAGCAAACGGGA
rnacentral:rRNA from 1 species